CGGCGAGUGAAGCGGGAAGAGCUCAAAUUUGAAAUCUGGUGGCCUCAGGUCAUCCGAGUUGUAAUCUAUAGAAGUGUUUUCCGUGCUGGCUCAUGUACAAGUCCCUUGGAACAGGGCGUCAUAGAGGGUGAGAAUCCCGUCCUUGACAUGAACUACCAGUGCUCUGUGAUACAUUUUCAACGAGUCGAGUUGUUUGGGAAUGCAGCUCAAAAUGGGUGGUAAAUUCCAUCUAAAGCUAAAUAUUGGCGAGAGACCGAUAGCGAACAAGUACCGUGAGGGAAAGAUGAAAAGCACUUUGGAAAGAGAGUUAAACAGUAUGUGAAAUUGUUGAAAGGGAAACGAUUGAAGUCAGUCGUGCUCUUUGGAUUCAGCCGGUUCUGCCGGUGUACUUCCUUUGAGUGGGGUCAACAUCAGUUUUGAUCGCUGGAUAAAGGCUGGAGGAACGUAGUACCCUCGGGUAAACUUAUAGCCUCCUGUCACAUACAGUGGUUGGGACUGAGGAACGCAGCACGCCUUUAUGGCCGGGAUUCGUCCACGUACGUGCUUAGGAUGUUGACAUAAUGGCUUUAAACGACCCGUCUUGAAACACGGACCAAGG
rnacentral:rRNA from 1 species